rnacentral:rRNA from 1 species
UUGUCGGGUAAGUUCCGACCUGCACGAAUGGCGUAAUGAUGGCCAGGCUGUCUCCACCCGAGACUCAGUGAAAUUGAACUCGCUGUGAAGAUGCAGUGUACCCGCGGCAAGACGGAAAGACCCCGUGAACCUUUACUAUAGCUUGACACUGAACAUUGAGCCUUGAUGUGUAGGAUAGGUGGGAGGCUUUGAAGUGUGGACGCCAGUCUGCAUGGAGCCGACCUUGAAAUACCACCCUUUAAUGUUUGAUGUUCUAACGUUGACCCGUAAUCCGGGUUGCGGACAGUGUCUGGUGGGUAGUUUGACUGGGGCGGUCUCCUCCUAAAGAGUAACGGAGGAGCACGAAGGUUGGCUAAUCCUGGUCGGACAUCAGGAGGUUAGUGCAAUGGCAUAAGCCAGCUUGACUGCGAGCGUGACGGCGCGAGCAGGUGCGAAAGCAGGUCAUAGUGAUCCGGUGGUUCUGAAUGGAAGGGCCAUCGCUCAACGGAUAAAAGGUACUCCGGGGAUAACAGGCUGAUACCGCCCAAGAGUUCAUAUCGACGGCGGUGUUUGGCACCUCGAUGUCGGCUCAUCACAUCCUGGGGCUGAAGUAGGUCCCAAGGGUAUGGCUGUUCGCCAUUUAAAGUGGUACGCGAGCUGGGUUUAGAACGUCGUGAGACAGUUCGGUCCCUAUCUGCCGUGGGCGCUGGAGAACUGAGGGGGGCUGCUCCUAGUACGAGAGGACCGGAGUGGACGCAUCACUGGUGUUCGGGUUGUCAUGCCAAUGGCACUGCCCGGUAGCUAAAUGCGGAAGAGAUAAGUGCUGAAAGCAUCUAAGCACGAAACUUGCCCCGAGAUGAGUUCUCCCUGACUCCUUGAGAGUCCUGAAGGAACGUUGAAGACGACGACGUUGAUAGGCCGGGUGUGUAAGCGCAGCGAUGCGUUGAGCUAACCGGUACUAAUGAACCGUGAGG